GACGAACGCUGGCGGCGUGCUUAACACAUGCAAGUCGAACGGUGAACGAGGGAGCUUGUUCCCUCCGCGACUGGGGCGCACGUGUGAAACACACGUGAACCCUCCCCCCCGAACUCGGGGAUCAGCGUGGGACACGACGUAUAAUACCAUAUGCGCCCCGGCAGGGAAUCGUCUCCGGGAGGAAUGAACAUCGGUUCGGGGUGAGCUCGCGGCCUCUCAGCUUGUUGGUGAGGUUACGGCUCACCAAGGCGACGACGGGUCGCCGGCCUGAGAGGGUGACCGGCCACACUGGGACUGAGAUACGGCCCAGACUCCUACGGGAGGCAGCAGUGGGGAAUAUUGCACAAUGGGCGCAAGCCUGAUGCAGCAACGCCGCGUGAGGGACGACGGCCUUCGGGUUGUAAACCUCUUUUAGCAGGGAAGAAGCGAAAGUGACGGUACCUGCAGAAAAAGCACCGGCUAACUACGUG
rnacentral:rRNA from 1 species